AUUGAACGCUGGCGGCAUGCCUUACACAUGCAAGUCGAACGGCAGCACGGGAGCAAUCCUGGUGGCAAGUGGCGAACGGGUGAGUAAAGUAUCGGAACGUGCCCAGUCGUGGGGGAUAACGUAGCGAAAGUUACGCUAAUACCGCAUACGAUCUAUGGAUGAAAGCGGGGGAUCGCAAGACCUCGCGCGAUUGGAGCGGCCGAUAUCAGAUUAGGUAGUUGGUGGGGUAAAGGCUCACCAAGCCGACGAUCUGUAGCUGGUCUGAGAGGACGACCAGCCACACUGGGACUGAGACACGGCCCAGACUCCAACGGGAGGCAGCAGUGGGGAAUUUUGGACAAUGGGCGAAAGCCUGAUCCAGCCAUGCCGCGUGCAGGAUGAAGGCCUUCGGGUUGUAAACUGCUUUUGUACGGAACGAAAAGGUUUGGCCUAAUAAGCUGAGCUCAUGACGGUACCGUAAGAAUAAGCACCGGCUAACUACGUGCCAGCAGCCGCCGUAA
rnacentral:rRNA from 1 species